GCCUUGGUCUGCUUAUUUUUUAUUCUGACUGUAACACAAAGGCUGGGUCACACUUGGACUAGGCCUUGUGCCUUUGUUUUGUGUAGAAGGUUUUGUUGGUUGGUGGUUUUUGGGGGUUGGGUUUGUUGUUUUUUGGAGUUUUUUACAGCACUAAAACCUGAAACUUGGCUGAACUUGAGAUUCUUGAGAGCUCUCAGCUGGAGUUGUUCUGCUGUGCACUGCUCCUUCCUCUUCCACAGAGGAGGUGUCAAGGCCAUGUUAGCAGAUGACCAAGGAUCCCCACCCUUCCCCUGCCCAGGCACAUCUCAAGUUCAGGAGUCCAUGUGCAGAAGUCUGGAGCCAGGUCAAAACACAGCCAAACAUCAGUAGCUGGGAGAAAGCCUGUGGGACACAUCCUACAGGCUGGGAAAGCAUUAACAGAAACACUCUGGCUGAAGCAUUCAUGGGGAAGGAGAGCCCCAAUGAGGGCUGAAAUACACAAUAUGUUCAGAUUUGAGCCUGAGGAAGAAUUCUGGGAGAAGAUCCUCUGUGCUGUUUGUUCCACAUCUUAAAACAAAGCCUUUAACCUCAAUGCCUUCUCCUGAGCAUUUCUUCAUGCUGUAGAAACAAUUUUGGAAGAGUGAUACAAACAAAAGUCCAAUUAGGGGGUUGCAGUCUAAAUAAAAUCUGUUUCUGCCCACACCAUAAGACAAA